rnacentral:tRNA from 1 species
GGGCGCGUAGCUCAGGGGAUAGAGCAUCUGCCUUCUAAGCAGAGGGUCGCGGGUUCGAUUCCCGCCGCGCCCUCCA